GUACUGGGGACAAACACUGACUAUAUUUUUGCUAGAUCUUGACUUUAUUUUGCGAGGCCUUGAGUUUGUUUUGUGAGAUCUUGACUUUGGUUUGCGAGAUCUUGUGUUUGUUUUACAAGCUCUUUUUUAAGUCACUUCGGUGGCACCGUUAGGAACUGUUAUCAUAAGUAGGGACAAUAUGCAACUGUUCUGCAUGUCAAGCAAAGAACAUUUACUUUUAAAAUAAAGUUUCCAAAGAAUACCAUUUAUUUUUUUAUUUCAUUAAAUCAAUUCAACAUGUUUUCAAGACGGGCCGAUAUGAUAAUCUGAGAUGUAACUAGAGUUACAAAUUCUACCCUAAUCAUUACAAUUCCUUCUCACUUUUAUCUUCAGAUAUAAGUGUAGGUCCUACUCUGAGGGACAUUGGUAAGAAAUGAUUUUUUUUUUUGUGACGGAUAUCAAUUGUUAGAACAGGCCGAUAUGCUAAUCUGAGAUGUUUCUUCCACUAACUAGAGUUACAAAUUCUACCCUAGCCAUUACAAUUCCUUCUCACUUUUAUCUUCAGAUACAAGUGGAGGUCCUACUCAGAAGGACAUUGGUAAGACAUUCUUUCUUGUUGUGACGGAUAUCAAUUGUUAGAACAGGUAUAUCGUGGCAAGAGAGCAUAUAUUCAUUGAAUAUGCAUAUAUUUUUAUUUAUUUAUUGUUCUUUUACUAUAUAUAUAUAUAUAUAUAUAUAUAUAUAUAUAUAUAUAUAUAUAUAUAUAUAUAUAUAUAUAUAUAUAUACAUAUACGAUGCCUUUGCUGCAGGUUUUGGGGACUCUGCUGCUCCAGACUGUGGACAGUGCUGGAUGCUGCUGGUCACACUGUGCCCGUCCUCUGCUCUCCUCUCUUUGGUCCUCUACCUCCUCUGCAGUCACAUGGUUUGUGCCAGAAAACCCCCUGGCGUCUCUCAGGAAAACAGACCUUUAUUACCGCAACAUGAGGUAUCUGAUGGUUGCAUAGUUCACCUCUUACAUUAAUUGAUAUAAACACCCUGUUUUAUUAAGAAGUGUGCUCAGUAGUUGUACUGUCCUAAUGUCACGUUUUGUUUGUCCCUCACACACAGGAUGAAAACUAUAGCCGUGUAUUUUAUGCUGUGAUGAAAACUCCACAAAAAUAAGGAUCUCACAGCUUCUUCGUUUGCAGUACGUGUGGGCUUUGAGAGGCGGAUUGGUUAGAGUUCCUUCCUCCACAACACACGCAGCCCAACGCACACACAUAGACUCACUCACAACAACAAACAAACACACAGUCGUACACACAAACACACAUGAAUUGAAAUUCCCUUGUGUUUGAAGGUAUUUUGAUGCCUUGAAAUUAGUACAACUUGGAUUGAUUUACAAUAUGUUACACAGAAAACAUUGAAAUAUGCAUUUGUAUAUUGUUUUAUACCCAAAAGUAACCUGUCUAUUAUAUGUUUUCAUUAAAUGUAUAAACAAAUCAAUAAAAUCCAAAGAUGUUGCAUGGCAG
rnacentral:lncRNA from 1 species